CCUUUUAAUACACAUAAGCCAAAAUUAGGGUUUUCUCUCUACGCCAUCAAGCGAUGAUCGUCUGCUUUCUCUGUCAUCUUCUAUGGUGUUUCCAGAGAUUGUCUGACACAAAUCGACAUGAAAAAUCUCUCUGUUGCCUUGCAGUCGCGUCGAUUUGUCUUCUCUUUUAGUAAUCCGAAAUGCUAUGAGUUACAGAUCCAACGAAUUUGUCGCUUUCUUAACUCCAUAGACCGAUGUGAAGCAUGAUCUUUCAUUGAAUGAGAGAUAUCAUCCAGAACUAUAUAAAGACUGCGAAAAGCUGUCACCGACCGAUGAGCAGACCAAGAGUUUUACGAAGCCUUCUGUCUCAUCGACAACUCAGAUGGGUUCAUCACGAAGGAGAAGCUAAAGAAAGUGAUGAAAUCGAUGGGGAAGAAUCCAAGGGGAGAACUUUGGGAAAUUAUGAUCGAUGUCAACGUUGAUGGCAAUUUAGGCAUCUAUAUAAUGGCUCAAAACACCUCUCAGGACUCGGCAUGGGAUGAUACUAAUAGAAAUAUUCAGUGUGUUCGAAGGGAAAGUUUCAUCUCGACACUUGAGGGAAGCUUGAAGAUCUUCAACCACCAUCCCUACUUCAAAUGGAGUUACAAAACAUAGACAGAUUCUCAGAGAGUAGGCGUCCACAGGUGCAUCAGGAGGUGCUGACGGUGAGAGAUCAGCUGGAGAGAUCCAGGAUUGUCGAGUUGAGGUGCGAGGAGACGGAACCAGAGAUUCACGACGAAGAACAAGAUAGACAAACUUACAAGUGAAGACAUUGGUUUUUGUUUCUACAUACGCAUUUUCAUCUAAUUAACAGGUUUCCUAUUUAUUAUUAUAUGCUUCGUGAAAGCACUAUGUUAUUUGAUCUAGAAUAAAAUGUAAUUUAUGUCAAUUUGCUCGGAAUAAUGAACAUGUUUUUAAGCGAGAUUUUAUUUUUGAGGAAACAACAGUUGUAGCUA